ACCAGCUUGAAACUCAAAAGACUUGACAGUAUCUCAUACACACCUAGAGGAGCCUGUCCAAUAAUCGAUAACCCACGAUACACCUUACCAGUCCUAGCACUAUAUCAGCCUAUAUACCUCCGUCGCCAGUCCGCCUGACAACAGACAAUAAAGCGAAUAUAACAGUCAACCGCUCAUACGACAGGUCAAGGUGUAGCUAAUGUACUGGGCAGCGAUGGGCUACAUUUUCUUCACAAGAAAUUACUAACAAUGCCAUGAAAACCACACAUAAAGUUGGAUUUAGCAGUAAGAAGGGCAAGAUGCGCCCAACUGAAGUUAAUAAUGAGAUGUGUACACACCGCCCGUCACCCUCCUCACAAAUACACCUAUUUAAAUAAAACAUACUACGAAUAAAGAUGAGGUAAGUCGUAACAUGGUAAGCGUACUGGAAAGUGCGCUUGGCCCAACUCAUAGGUAGCUUAAACUUAAAGCAUUUGGCUUACAACCAAA
rnacentral:rRNA from 1 species